GGAUCCAUAAACAGAGUAUAUCUUGCAUGGUGCUAGGAAAAGAGUUGGACCAUAUGUUUCCAGUUCCUUCCGUCUGGAUGAGUGAGAACUUGCUGUGUCAAAGCUGUUCAGUGCAAAAGGUCAUAAAACAGGAAUCUUUCCCUCUGCAUUAAGCUGCAUCUUCAGCUUCACGAGGCUGUGAAAAAAGAAGUCAAGAUGAUGAAAAUUCACUUGUACAAUCUUACAGAUUCUGUUAAGGAAGGAGCAAAAAAGAAAAUGCAAUUGGGAAAGGAAACCAACGGUUAACUGGAAAACAGGGUCCUGCAGACUGUGAGCUUAACCUCAAGACAGAACCUGUUCUCACUUCUUGGGAAGUAGAUACAGGCGAAUUGUAAGAAAACUGAUAUCAGAAUGAUUCCUCUGAAACAUAUGACAUAAAUAUGAGAUAAUGGUAUUCUACUGUUCCUUAGUGAUCCCAGGCUGCCAACCAAACAGCAUUACAGACAAGAAAAAGAGGCAGCACGUUUUUGGAGUGACCACUGUGACUGUAGGUGGGUGGGGGAUAUUUGAAGCUCAGAAUUUCAGUUUGUCUAAUACCACCUAAUACCAUGUGUGUGUUUGACUGGCUCAAGUACUGUGGUACCAGUCAGCUGUCAUGCAACACAGGGCCCAUUUACCAACCCUCUGCCCUGUGCCUUAGGGCUCUCAAGUUGAAAAAAGGACUCGUUUGGAGACUGCCAAAGAGACUUGGAAGCUAAGAAGCCUUUUCUUUCUAUUAGAAACAGAAAGGGCAACAAAUAAAUGUUUCAGAGAACAAGGUCAGAAAUCACUUACAUUUUCUCCAGGAAGGUGUACCGAGAAGCAUUGUAUGUGAGGGGAUUCCGAACGAUGGCCAUAAUAUCCUCUGCCCAGCUCUGGAGAAAAAACAAAGACACAAAGUGGAGAAGUGCAGCACUGUGGGAGUCAGGAGGCUCGUGGCUGAGCUGCAGCAGGGCGUGCUGGUGUCACCUGCAGCAAGCAUCUCAGUGAGAUGAGGGAGAGAAAGAUACACAGAUGAAGCACCUCACUGCUCUACAGGAGCUGGAAAACGCAGCAGUGCACAGAUUCGCAUGGCACAAAAUAACCCAUAGCCUUCUGGAACGAAACAGGAACAGACUGUGAGGGAGAGAUCCAGACUGUGCAUCCUCAGUAACUUCUGUCCCUGUAGUCCACAAGCUCACGCUGCAGAAAUACAGGAGAGGCAGCAAAAGGGCCCAGCAUGGCAAAAGGCCAUUUUUCUGAUGUGGCUGUUUGCUUUCUUAAUCCCCUUGAUCCUUGAUCAGUUUGCAGGCCAGAGGAUUCUACUUGCUUCUCUUAUUCAUGUAUCGGUUUGUCUCUGUACAGCUUGUUGGGAUCAUCACUCUUAUUCUGAGGCCCAAAUUUCAGACCUUGUUUAGGUCCAUCCUGGGAACUGUGCUCACACCCAUUGCUGAAUGCAGAGCAUAGCACUUGAGGUGAUGUUAGAUGCCCAGAGCUGCUCUCUUUAACCCUGCAAUGCAGCAAAAUGACCGACAGCCCCCAACCUGGAUAUAGCCCACAGCCCAGCACUCUGCUCAUCUCUGAGCAAAUAUGAAUGCUCCCUACAUGGGUGGUUCCUAAACACUGCAGGUUCCUACUUUAUUGUCCAAAGUCCAUGAGAAAUACUUUGUACAUGUUCAACUCAGCAUCCACAUCUUCAAUAACAACAAUGUGUGUAGGAGGAUGAAAUUGUAUUAUAAUAAUGAGCAAUAGUGAGAAAAUACAACUUUUGUUUUUAUGAAAAAUUAUACUCAUUUCAGAGCCAAUACCUUCUAAAAUGUCUAAACAAUACCCAAGACGUAGCCAACAGCUCAGCAGCCUAGUCUACAGCACCAUGUAUUUUGGUCUUAAUUAUGACAUUGUGCAAGCGUUCUAGGGUCUUGGUGCACCAGAAGAAAACAAAAUGGAGCAGCUGUUAUUGUUCCUUGUUACUCAAAGAAAAACACAAAAUUGCAUUGUAAAUAACAUCUUGAUCUGCUUUGGCAUGCCGCUGAACUACUUUCAAUAGCUUUUUAUCUUGUCUCGUUUAUGUUAAAAGUCUCUGCUAAUUCUUAUCUUUAUUGCUCUUGAACACGUGCCAGAGUUCAUUCUGCCCUGUCUCAAAAAAAAAAAAAAAAUCCAUCGAGAAAAAAAGCUGCAGAACAUUUUGAGUAGCUC